CUGACACCACAACUAGAAGAGCAUUCCGGUUGGUUUCUUCAGUCCGAAGCCAGCAAUACGUAAUUUUCGUCUCAAAUACGUAAUUUUCGUGGAUUGUUACACAGUUAACUGGGAUAUUGUCUAGUAUGGGAGGGUUAAACAACCACUACCCGUUAUCUCUCCUUAACCACUACUACUAUGCAUAUUUACCUUUCUUCAAACGUCACACUCACCAACCAAUCUCGGUCUGGCUUCGGUAGUGCUCGUCAACUACGAGUAGGCUUGUGAUCCGCAAGACGAUGGAUCUGCCAACUUUAACUCGCGCCUUGGCAGAGGCCAAAGAUGACGUGGACAGAAUCCUGAUUGUGUCGGUGACAAAAGAGAUUCCGAGGUCACAAAGCCUUCAGGAGACAGUCAACAUUAUCCUUGCGGUGAUUGGGAAAGAACAUAUAGAAGACAUAGAGGUCUUGUUCGACACCACUUUCGUUUUGGUGACCUUACACAGAGGUCACGAGCACGUUGUCGAUGUCAUUUCCAUGUUUUACCACAAACACUGGAUCUACACCUUCUACCAUCCGCAUCCCAUUCCAGGGAAGGUGGAGGGAAUUCUGCGAGGGUUUCCCAGGUUCUACUCUUUGAGAAAUAUGGAAGCCUUACUCGCUCCCCUAAAAGAUAAUAGGUUUGGAUUUAGCGAUUUCACCACAGAGUACAUCCCUCUCGAAGGAACAGACUUCAUGAGCAACGAUAUCAAGGUCACAGCCCACAUCAGAGAUCUUAGUUUGCCUAGAGGUAAUUUUGGUCUGCUCUUUCACACCAUCAGAGCAGGAUCCUUCCGGGGCGAUGUCAGGUUCAAAGUUGUCGCUACUCUCCACAAGGAGGAUCCGAGCUUGAAGUUCCCGGUGGAAGAAGACUUCGAAGUGGAUAUUAGUAGAUGGAUGCCCAGUUGACAUUUCAAGCGUUUCUGAUCACAUUCACUUGGCUUGCUUUUAUGUAAUAACAGAUGAUCACUAAUGUGUGAAAAUAUACAAAAGAAAGUUAUAUUCCCUCGAGCGAAGGAGUAAUAUUUAGAUUUUACUUGCAUGAUUUUAACAUUUAUCAAAACAUUUUGUGCUGAUUUAUGAAAUUAGUGACAAUGGGAAUAUAAUUUCUCAUGUUUCCAACGAAUAGUUUUUAAUAGUUUGUUUUAAUAUAGGCUUCAGGAAUUCUAUGAACAACGCAUAUGUAGUUUUUCAUUUGUACUUACACCAAUUAAUUUAGAAUGCAUUGUCUACCUAAAGUGUAUGUGUGAAGACUAUAUUAGAUUUUAGUAAGCAUAUUCUUUUAAAAGUACCUUUAACGGGACUGUUGUCAAAGAAAUUAGUAUAACUUAUACUUUUUACCCAUUCAUAUUACAGCUGUGAAUUUUUCGAACUUUUUGUCCAUAUUGGGUAGGUACUAGUUAGCAAUUGACAAAUACGGCUGCCUGUAUCCUAUACAUAAUUGCAACCUUGUAUACAUUUAAUUGAAUAAUGAGAUUUUUUUAAAGCUUGA